rnacentral:misc_RNA from 1 species
UCGCACCGCUCGCAGAAGAC